AAUUCCCGGUGUAGCGUGUAAAUGCGUAGAUAUCGGGAGGUACACCAGUGUCGAAGGCGGCCUCCUGGGCUGCUCCUGACGCUGAAGGCGAAAGCUAGGGGAUCGAACGGGAUUAGAUACCCCGGUAGUCCUAGCCGUAAACGAUGGAUGCUGGGUGUGGGGGGUAUAGAUUCCCUCCGUGCCGAAGCUAACGCGUUAAGCAUCCCGCCUGGGGACUACGGCCGCAAGGCUUAAACUCAAACGAAUUGACGGGUCCCCGCACAAGCAGCGGAGCGUGUGGUUUAAUUCGAUGCUACACGAAGAACCUUACCUGGGUUUGACAUGCAAGUAGUAGUGAAGCGAAAGCGGAACGACCCUUCGGGGAGCUUGCACAGGUGCUGCAUGGCUGUCGUCAGCUCGUGCCGUGAGGUGUCGGGUUAAGUCCCGUAACGAGCGCAACCCUUGCCCUUAGUUAUACGUGUCUAAGGGGACUGCCCAAGACAACUGGGAGGAAGGUGGGGAUGACGUCAAGUCAGCAUGGCCUUUAUAUCCAGGGCGACACACACGCUACAAUGGCCGGUACAAUGGGUUGCCAAGCCGUGAGGCGGAGCCAAUCCCGCAAAGCCGGUCUAAGUUCGGAUUGUGGGCUGCAACUCGCCCACAUGGAGCUGGAGUUGCUAGUAACCGCGCGUCAGCCAUAGUGCGGUGAAUACGUUCCCGGGGAUUGUACACACCGCCCGUCACGUCAUGGAAGCUGGCAACACCUAAAGCCGUAUACUCACCCGAGAGGAAGCCGCCGUCUAAGGUGG
rnacentral:rRNA from 1 species